UACGGAGGGUGCAAGCGUUGUUCGGAAUUAUUGGGCGUAAAGCGCGUGUAGGCGGCUUUGCAAGUCGGGUGUGAAAGCCCUCGGCUUAACCGAGGAAGUGCGCCCGAAACUGCAGAGCUUGAGUACCGGAGAGGAUGGCGGAAUUCCCCAAGUAGAGGUGAAAUUCGUAGAUAUGGGGAGGAACACCGGUGGCGAAGGCGGCCAUCUGGACGGAUACUGACGCUGAGACGCGAAAGCGUGGGGAGCAAACAGG
rnacentral:rRNA from 1 species